AGGUGUCAUCUUUUUCAUUCUCUUUUUACCAGCCGAAUAUGAAGGCUUGAGAAGCCAUGGAAGAAGCUUCCAACUUUCAGCUAAUGCAUGGGUUGCCAGGUUAGCUCGGGUUGGAGGCCGUCAGAGAUAUUAUCACAUUGUCAAGUCUACGCUAUCGGUGUAAGUAAAUCUUAGUGUUUCGAGUCUAUGGCAUGUAUAGGGUUGUAAAGUUGAGUAAGUAAAUGAUACAAGACUAAGAUAUUGGUAAAUAUUUAAUAAUGCCUCAUGAAUAUUUUGGGCCUUGUAAGCCCGAUUAAAGGAUAAUAUACGUGUGUAUGAAAAGUUUAAAAUUGAUCAAAAAUUUUUACGGUCUGGUUUUAAAUAAA